rnacentral:rRNA from 1 species
AUCCUGGCUCAGGAUGAACGCUAGCGGCAGGCUUAACACAUGCAAGUCGAGGGGCAGCGGGUUGUAGCAAUACAAUGCCGGCGACCGGCGAAAGGGUGAGUAACGCGUGAGCAACAUGCCCGAUAGUGGAGGAUAGUCGAUGGAAACGUCGCGUAAUACUCCGUAACAACAGAGACCGCAUGAUCUUUGUUUAAUAGAUUUAUUGCUAUCGGAUUGGCUCGCGUACCAUUAGCUAGUUGGCGGGGUAACGGCCCACCAAGGCGACGAUGGUUAGGGGUUCUGAGAGGAAGGUCCCCACAUUGGAACUGAGACACGGUCCAGACUCCUACGGGAGGCAGCAGUGAGGAAUAUUGGACAAUGGCCGGAAGGCUGAUCCAGCCAUGCCGCGUGCGGGAAGACGGCCCUAUGGGUUGUAAACCGCUUUUGUUGGGGAGCAAUAAGGGUCACGUGUGGCCUGAUGAGAGUACCCAGCGAAUAAGCAUCGGCUAACUCCGUGCC